GGUCCCGUAGUUCAAUGGAUAGAAUAAGAGUUUCCUAAACUCCAGAUACAGGUUCGAUUCCUGUCGGGACUACAA
rnacentral:tRNA from 1 species